GCAGUCGAACGCUUCUUUUUCACCGGAGCUUGCUCCACCGGAAAAAGAAGAGUGGCGAACGGGUGAGUAACACGUGGGUAACCUGCCCAUCAGAAGGGGAUAACACUUGGAAACAGGUGCUAAUACCGUAUAACAAUCAAAACCGCAUGGUUUUGAUUUGAAAGGCGCUUUCGGGUGUCGCUGAUGGAUGGACCCGCGGUGCAUUAGCUAGUUGGUGAGGUAACGGCUCACCAAGGCCACGAUGCAUAGCCGACCUGAGAGGGUGAUCGGCCACAUUGGGACUGAGACACGGCCCAAACUCCUACGGGAGGCAGCAGUAGGGAAUCUUCGGCAAUGGACGAAAGUCUGACCGAGCAACGCCGCGUGAGUGAAGAAGGUUUUCGGAUCGUAAAACUCUGUUGUUAGAGAAGAACAAGGAUGAGAGUAACUGUUCAUCCCUUGACGGUAUCUAACCAGAAAGCCACGGCUAACUACGUGCCAGCAGCCGCGGUAAUACGUAGGUGGCAAGCGUUGUCCGGAUUUAUUGGGCGUAAAGCGAGCGCAGGCGGUUUCUUAAGUCUGAUGUGAAAGCCCCCGGCUCAACCGGGGAGGGUCAUUGGAAACUGGGAGACUUGAGUGCAGAAGAGGAGAGUGGAAUUCCAUGUGUAGCGGUGAAAUGCGUAGAUAUAUGGAGGAACACCAGUGGCGAAGGCGGCUCUCUGGUCUGUAACUGACGCUGAGGCUCGAAAGCGUGGGGAGCAAACAGGAUUAGAUACCCUGGUAGUCCACGCCGUAAACGAUGAGUGCUAAGUGUUGGAGGGUUUCCGCCCUUCAGUGCUGCAGCUAACGCAUUAAGCACUCCGCCUGGGGAGUACGACCGCAAGGUUGAAACUCAAAGGAAUUGACGGGGGCCCGCACAAGCGGUGGAGCAUGUGGUUUAAUUCGAAGCAACGCGAAGAACCUUACCAGGUCUUGACAUCCUUUGACCACUCUAGAGAUAGAGCUUCCCCUUCGGGGGCAAAGUGACAGGUGGUGCAUGGUUGUCGUCAGCUCGUGUCGUGAGAUGUUGGGUUAAGUCCCGCAACGAGCGCAACCCUUAUUGUUAGUUGCCAUCAUUCAGUUG
rnacentral:rRNA from 1 species